GGGGAAUUUUCCGCAAUGGGCGAAAGCCUGACGGAGCAAUACCGCGUGAGGGAUGACGGCCUAUGGGUUGUAAACCUCUUUUUUCAGGGAGGAAACAAAUGACGUUACCUGAAGAAUAAGCAUCGGCUAACUCCGUGCCAGCAGCCGCGGUAAGACGGAGGAUGCAAGUGUUAUCCGGAAUCACUGGGCGUAAAGCGUCUGUAGGUGGUCAAAUAAGUCAACUGUUAAAUCUUGAGGCUCAACCUCAAAAUCGCAGUCGAAACUAUUAGACUAGAGUAUAGUAGGGGUAAAGGGAAUUUCCAGUGGAGCGGUGAAAUGCGUAGAUAUUGGAAGGAACACCGAUGGCGAAGGCACUUUACUGGGCUAUUACUAACACUCAGAGACGAAAGCUAGGGUAGCAAAUGGGAUUAGAUACCCCAGUAGUC
rnacentral:rRNA from 1 species